AGCAGCCGCGGUAAUUCCAGCUCCAAUAGCGUAUAUUAAAGUUGUUGCAGUUAAAAAGCUCGUAGUUGAAUUUCGGGGUUAGUAGGUCGGUCAUGCCACUGGUAUGUACUGGUCUCACUGAUUCCUCCUUCCUGAUGAACCGUAAUGCCAUUAAUUUGGUGUUGCGGGGAGACUGGACUGUUACUUUGAAAAAUUAGAGUGUUUAAAGCAGGCUAACGCUUGAAUACAUUAGCAUGGAAUAAUGAAAUAGGACGUUCGAUCCUAUUUUGUUGGUUUCUAGGAUUGACGUAAUGAUUAAUAGGGAUAGUUGGGGGCAUUAGUAUUCAAUUGUCAGAGGUGAAAUUCUUGGAUUUAUUGAAGACUAACUACUGCGAAAGCAUUUGCCAAGGAUGUUUUCAUUAAUCAAGAACGAAAGUUAGGGGAUCGAAGACGAUCAGAUACCGUCGUAGUCUUAACCAUAAACUAUGCCGACUAGGGAUCGGAUGAUGUUAAUUUUUAAUGUACUCAUUCGGCGUCCUUA
rnacentral:rRNA from 1 species